UUAGCUUCUCUGGGAAAAAUUAGUAAAGAUGCAGCUUAAAUUAUCAAAAGUGUUAUUUCAUUAGUGUAGCUGUUUCCAGUUUCCCUGCUCAACUAUACUGGCAAGAUCAUUUUCAUUAUCCUUGUGUAAGUCCACAGUACCUUUAGGACUAACUUCAAUCCGUUUCCUUUGCCCAUGCGUAGAUCUGGUCUACAGUUGAGAUGUUAUACCUGUUCCCUUUGGUGCCCAAGCUCUGAAGAGCUCCAGCUAUACGGCCAACUGCAGGCAUUAACAGAGACGUAGUCUUAAUCAGUGCCUGCUGGCCAGCUUUCUCAGGAACUUGGCUGUCCGUGGUUUCACCCCACAGGCAAUAUCUCAACACAGCUGCAGCUUCGCAAUGCUCUGCUGCCGGCAGCUCUUUUAGCUUCUAGCUCUGCAAGUACAGUCGAGCACGUUUCCAUCGUGUUUCUCUCUGCUUUUCCCUUCCCAUCUCCCUGUGCUCCAUUUCAAAGCUGGCACUUGUGGGAAGAGAAUCCUUUAGAAGUCAUCCUAUACAGAGCGGUGGGUUCCCUGCAGAAAUCAGAGGCAGAGGUUAAAGCAGAGGUGAGUGCAGUUUCCCUUGUGUUACACACAGGCUCAUGGCCUAUGUUUGGGAGUGUGUGGCCAUUAAAGACGCCCAGAAAGGAGACCACAGCUCCCGACAUAUGGGAGGAAAGCAGGAACAAGCAGCACAUUAAGGAAGGGAUCCCGCGUUGUGUCAGCCGCAGCACGUACACCCAGACUCCGUACAGUGGGCACAGAGUCACACUGUCCUGCCAUCAGUAUCUCUUGUACAUUUAAAGCACAAUUGCCAUCAUAUUCUGAUGAGCUUUAAAGCAGAUGCUGUUAGUGUAGGUGCUCACCACCAAAAGCACUUUUUUCAGAUAAAAAGCAUGUCAUGCGUGAGCUACCGUGAAGUUUCAGCCAUUUAAAUAUCUCUUGGUGUUUAAAAC
rnacentral:lncRNA from 1 species